rnacentral:rRNA from 1 species
AGUGGCCUACGGGGGGCAGCAGUGGGGAAUAUUGCACAAUGGGGGAAACCCUGAUGCAGCGACGCCGCGUGAGCGAUGAAGUAUUUCGGUAUGUAAAGCUCUAUCAGCAGGGAAGAAAAUGACGGUACCUGACUAAGAAGCCCCGGCUAACUACGUGCCAGCAGCCGCGGUAAUACGUAGGGGGCAAGCGUUAUCCGGAUUUACUGGGUGUAAAGGGAGCGUAGACGGCGGGGCAAGCCAGAUGUGAAAGCCAGGGGCUCAACCCAGGGACGGCAUUUGG